rnacentral:lncRNA from 1 species
UCCUUGUUAAUUAUCAACCGCCUAACCAUGCUUUUCAAUGAAGACUUCCCCAGUAUACAAAAGCAGAAGAACGUAAAGAUUUGCAAUUAUAUUUUUGUGAAGAUUAUCAGUUCUAGUUCAAGGCUAGUAAUAUCACAUGUAAAUAUAAACUUUAAUCGUCAUAGAAAAUAUACCUGAAGCGGAAUCCAUUAUCUUGAAGCGGAAGCGUUAAUUGAAAUUAGUUUCUCGCCCCUUGCCCUAGCUUUCGUCUCUGCCGUCGUUAGUGAUGGAAGAGAGAAUAAAAUACGGUAACUCUAAUAGGUGGGGAGACGACCAAUUUAUAGAGGUUCUCACUUAAUAUGGUACGUCCCUCAAGUAACCAGUCAGACGGGUGAGAUUUGAUAAUUAAUUAAAUACUAAUUAUGGGCCUCAAACCUAUCGGGCCAUACAUAUAGGAAAAUAACUUACAUGAAGAACACUCAGCAUCGGUCUGCAAUUUACAUAUUUUCUCAAUUGUAUACAUAUAUUUAUGCACUGAGAAAAUUAAAUUAAUAGUGUGAAAAUGCUAACAUAGACAAUAGCUAAGAAAGCGAUCAUAAU